UACGUAGGGUGCGAGCGUUGUCCGGAAUUAUUGGGCGUAAAGAGCUCGUAGGCGGUGUGUCACGUCGGCCGUGAAAACCUGCAGCUUAACUGUGGGCGUGCGGUCGAUACGGGCAUCACUGGAGUUCGGCAGGGGAGACUGGAAUUCCUGGUGUAGCGGUGAAAUGCGCAGAUAUCAGGAGGAACACCGGUGGCGAAGGCGGGUCUCUGGGCCGGUACUGACACUGAGGAGCGAAAGCGUGGGUAGCAAACAGG
rnacentral:rRNA from 1 species